rnacentral:rRNA from 1 species
CUAACACAUGCAAGUCGAACGAGAAAGUUCCUUCGGGAGCGAUUAAAGUGGCGCACGGGCGAGUAACGCGUAGACAAUCUGCCCUUCAGUCUGGGACAACUUUUCGAAAGGAGAGCUAAUACCGGAUAACAAUGUUUAACCUAAGUUAAGUAUUUGAAAGCUUUAUGUGCUGAAGGAGGGGUCUGCGUCCCAUUAGCUAGUUGGUAAGGUAAAGGCUUACCAAGGCGACGAUGGGUAGCGGGUUUGAGAGGACGAUCCGCCACACUGGAACUGAGACACGGUCCAGACUCCUACGGGAGGCAGCAGUGGGGAAUAUUGCACAAUGGAGGCAACUCUGAUGCAGCAAUGUCGCGUGAGUGAAGAAGGCCCUUGGGUCGUAAAGCUCUUUUAUGGGGGAAGAUGAUGACGGUACCCCAAGAAUAAGCACCGGCUAACUAUGUGCCAGCAGCCGCGGUAAUACAUAGGGUGCGAGCGUUGUUCGGAAUUACUGGGCGUAAAGGGCGCGCAGGCGGAAUAGUAAGUCGGAGGUGAAAGCCCGGGGCUCAACCCCGGAGGGUCUUUCGAAACUGCUAAUCUAGAGAGGGUCAGGGGCCGGCAGAAUUCCUGGUGUAGAGGUGAAAUUCGUAGAUAUCAGGAGGAAUACCGGUGGCGAAGGCGGCCGGCUGGGGCCACUCUGACGCUGAGGCGCGAAAGCGUGGGGAGCAAACAGGAUUAGAUACCCUGGUAGUCCACGCCGUAAACGAUGAGCACUGGACGUCCGGAGGGUUCGACCCUUCUGGGUGUUUCAGCUAACGCAUUAAGUGCUCCGCCUGGGGAGUA